GUUGUCCGGAUUUAUUGGGCGUAAAGCGAGCGCAGGCGGUGAUUUAAGUCUGAUGUGAAAGCCCCAGCUCAACUGGGGAGGGUCAUUGGAAACUGGAUCACUGGAGUGCAGAAGAGGAGAGUGGAAUUCCAUGUGUAGCGGUGAAAUGCGUAGAUAUAGGAGGAACACCAGUGGCGAAGGCGGCUCUCUGGUCUGUAACUGACGCUGAGGCUCGAAAGCGUGGGUAGCAAACAGGAUUAGAUACCCUGGUAGUCCACGCCGUAAACGAUGAGUGCUAAGUGUGGGAGGGUUUCCGCCCUUCAGUGCUGCAGUUAACGCAUUAAGCACUCCGCCUGGGGAGUACGACCGCAAGGUUGAAACUCAAAGGAAUUGACGGGGGCCCGCACAAGCGGUGGAGCAUGUGGUUUAAUUCGAAGCAACGCGAAGAACCUUACCAGGUCUUGACAUCCUUUGACCGCCCUAGAGAUAGGGUUUCCCCUUCGGGGGCAAAGUGACAGGUGGUGCAUGGUUGUCGUCAGCUCGCGUCGUGAGAUGUUGGGUUAAGUCCCGUAACGAGCGCAACCCUUAUUGUUAGUUGCCAGCAUUGCGUUGGGCACUCUAGCAAGACUGCCGGUGACAAACCGGAGGAAGGCGGGGAUGACGUCAAAUCAUCAUGCCCCUUAUGACCUGGGCUACACACGUGCUACAAUGGGAAGUACAACGAGCAAGCCAAGCCGCAAGGCCUAGCGAAUCUCUGAAAGCUUCUCUCAGUUCGGAUUGCAGGCUGCAACUCGCCUGCAUGAAGCCGGAAUCGCUAGUAAUCGCGGAUCAGCAUGCCGCGGUGAAUCCGUUCCCGGGCCUUGUACACACCGCCCGUCACACCACGAGAGUUUGUAACACCCAAAGUCGGUGCGGCAACCCUUAAGGGAGCCAGCCGCCUAAGGUGGGACGAAAGAGUGGGGUGAA
rnacentral:rRNA from 1 species